rnacentral:rRNA from 1 species
AUACGGAGGGUGCAAGCGUUAAUCGGAAUUACUGGGCGUAAAGCGUACGUAGGCGGUUGGUUAAGUUAGAUGUGAAAGCCCCGGGCUUAACCUGGGAACUGCAUUUAAAACUGGCGAACUAGAGUUGAGUAGAGGGGAGUGGAAUUUCAGGUGUAGCGGUGAAAUGCGUAGAGAUCUGAAGGAACACCAGUGGCGAAGGCGACUCCCUGGACUCGAACUGACGCUGAGGUACGAAAGCGUGGGUAGCAAACGGGAUUAGAUACCCUAGUAGUCC